rnacentral:lncRNA from 1 species
UUUUUUACCUCCUCAUGUAACGCUGCCUCUAUGCCAAGCCCAAAUGGCCACCAACGUGGCAAUGUCCUCAUCUUCUCCGUUGAAAGAGGAGUGUGUUGUGGCUGUCAAGUUCUGGGGACCUCAACUAAGCAUUUGUAAACCGGCUCAAAGCAACGCCGAGUGGAUCAACAUCAGAAUCUCAAACCCUUGUUUCUUUUCAUCCCCUGUCAUGUAUUCGGAGAAAGAGGACAUGUUUCGCAUUGUCGGAUCUGGAGGCCACCUUGUUGGAUCAUGGGAUCUCGGCAAACACAAGUGCACACCAAAGAUUCAGAGACUUCAAUUUCAAAACCUUCCGGAGCUGAGCAAGGCCAAGCGGGAGCUUCUGUACUCGAGCAACACAAGCGAACACUUGGUGGAGUCAAGAACAACCGGUGAAACUUUCAUGGUUAAGUGGUACAAAAGGACGGCCAAGACCAUCUACUGCAUAGAGAGAAUGGAAACACAAGCUUUAAUGGUGUUCAAGAUAGACGAAGAAGGCAACGCUGUUUACACUCAAGAUAUUGGUGAUCUCUGCAUUUUCCUCACAAAGUCUGAAUCUUUCUGUGUCCCUGCUUGCUCUGUUCGCCACAUGCGUCCUAAUCGCGUCAAACUCAUGGAUGUCGACGAAUUCACUAUUAUCGAUCUCGCUGCUCAAAAGUGGAACUGAUAAGAACAUUAGUUUGGACUUGUGUUUUUUUUUUCCUGAGACUAGAGUCUUGUCUUUUUCUUUAAAACCUUUCAAAUAUCCAAUCUAAUUUUUUCGUAAUAUUUAAUAAGCUUUUUGUCAACCUAAACAUAAAUUAAUCAUAAAUGUUUUUCAAAUUUUCCUUAAAUAAAAAUCACGAAAUUAUGUAAUGUACCUAAAGUAUAUAUGACAAUUAAUGAUUUUGAAUAAUAAAGAUUUGAUUAAAAUUAGUCUAUUUUCUAUCAUUUUUUUAAAUUUUAACUUAUUAAAAUAAAUUAAAUAACCACAUUAACUAUAUAAUAAAAAAUUAGAUUUUUUUGCAUAUGUUAUAUUUUAAAUUUUUAAAAACGAAUAUAAAUAACUAAAGUUGUUAAAAAUCUCACAUUGAAUUUUUUGUGAUCCAUGGUUUAAAAUUUAUGUUAUAACAAGAUACAAAUGAUUACAAAAUUACAUAAGUAGGAAGUCUCAUUUAAUAAAUUUUAUAUAUUAAUAUUAAUAUUUUUUUAAAAAUAAUUUAUAUACCAUAUAAAAUACAUAAGUAUUUUAAUUUCGAAUUUGUUUUGAUUUUUUUUAUAAACAUUUUGAACAAUUAUUGACAACUUAAUAUUUAAAUUUUAAACUUUGCAUUGAAUAUUUUUAAAAUUAUAAAUUACUAAAACAUUUAAACAUCCCACAAAUUUUUUAUUGUUAUCAUUGAUUUAAAAUUUUUGUUAUCAAGAAAUACAAACGAUCAAAAUGAAUAUGAGUAUAAAUACUAACCCACAACUUGAUUUUAACCCCAAACCUAUACCCAAUUUUUAACAGAUGUCAAUAUUAAAAAUGUAAUAUAUAUCUAUGUUAAUGGUGAUGAUUGGUUCAACUGUGGCUUUAAAAAUUUAGCUGUAGAUGUUUAGCUGUAGAUAAAUUGGUUGUACCUGUAAAGUUGUUAUUGUAGACUUUUUCUGCAGAAACUUUUGAUGUAGUUAAAUUUGUUGUAGCUGUAAGUUAUAGGCUGUAGAUAUUUUAAAAUAAAAUAUAUCAAAUAUGUGUUGUAUAUAUAAAAUUAUUAUUUUAUAUGAAUUAAAAUAAUUUAUAUUAAUAUUUUUUUAUAAAUUAUCAAAAUUUAUUGUAAUUUAAAAUGUGAUAUGUAAGUAAUAUUUAUAUUAUUUAAAUAUCUUAAUAAUUAAAAAACACUCAAAUUCAAAAUUAAAAUAUUUAUAAAAGUUUUUAUUAUGAUUAUAUAAUUUAUUUGAUAUUAUAGAUAUUUUUUUUCAUUUUACAGAUUUUACAGCCUAUAAAAAGAUGCAUUUUUGCCUAAAAUACAUAAGAGAAAGUUUUGCUUUAUUUUUUUUGUUGUAGCUUUAGAAAUAAAGCUAAAGCGUGAUUGGUAAAACUAAAUAAAAAUUUGAUGUAGACUUUAAUUUUUAAAAGUAAAGUUACAACAUGAUUGGUAAAAUUUAGUGAUUUAAAAAUAAAUAAAACUAAAGUAUGGAGAUAAAGUCUAACCAAUCACCCCCAAUAUCAUUCAAACUUAAUUUUAUAACAUAUAAAAUAGAAAAAGUGUUUGUCAAUUUAUUUAAGUAUUUGUACCAAUUUAAUUAUAUACGUAAUAGUUACUAAUUUUUUUAUUAUUCAAUAUAUAUUUAUUAUUUCAUAAUACGUUAAAAAAUAUAUAAUACUAAAAAAUAAUUUAUAUAUAAUAUUUAUUCCGCGGAGGGUGCGGAUCUUAACCGAGUAAAUGUUUAAAAGUCUGCUCCGUUGAAAUCAGAGUGAAUACGGUAUAUAGAAAAAAAAAUGAAACAAAUUAGAAUUAGGGUUAAUUUAUGUCAAGAAGGAAAACUUGGUGAGCAAGUCCCUUCAUAUGUAUUAAUGUGAGCAAUUAGGGUUUCAUUUCUUUACUAAAACUAUUCAUGUCUCUGAUUCUCAACCAGCCCCCGAAGCUAUGCUUGCGGAAACCAGUGUUGGUAAGAUGCUCUCCUCUUCACCACUCUAAUGGUUACUCAUCUGCUUCAUUGCCGCAAUCACAAACCCUUCCUUUAACCAUCUUCUGCGCGGAUCCUUGUAGACCACAUCUCGUAAGACGCGUGGUCAGGAGGGAUGGUGACAUGCAUGCUCUUGAUUACGAGAUGCCUCGUGAUUUUAUGGAGGUAACGGAAAUGAUAGGAACAUCCAAUGGAUGGGUAACGUGUUUGGUGGACGGCAUUGUGCGAAUCCGGGAAUACCCGGGCCCGGGGAAGAAUCGUAAACAGUUGAGAAUCAUUUUUUUACCUCCUCAUGAAACGCUGCCUCUAUGCCAAGCCCAAAUGGCCACCAACGUGGCAAUGUCCUCAUCUUCUCCGGAGAAGGAGGAGUGUGCUGUGGCUGUCAAGUUCUUGGGACCUCAACUAAGCAUUUGUAAACCGGCUCAAAGCAACGCCGAGUGGAUCAACAUCAGAAUCUCAAACCCUUGUUUCUUUUCCUCCCCUGUCAUGUAUUCGGAGAAAGAGGACAUGUUUCGCA